GAUGAACGCUGGCGGCGUGCCUAAUACAUGCAAGUCGAGCGAACGGACGAGAAGCUUGCUUCUCUGAUGUUAGCGGCGGACGGGUGAGUAACACGUGGAUAACCUACCUAUAAGACUGGGAUAACUUCGGGAAACCGGAGCUAAUACCGGAUAAUAUUUUGAACCGCAUGGUUCAAAAGUGAAAGACGGCCUUGCUGUCACUUAUAGAUGGAUCGGCGCUGCAUUAGCUAGUGGGUAAGGUAACGGCUUACCAAGGCAACGAUGCAUAGCCGACCGGAGAGGGGGAUCGGCCACACUGGAACUGAGACGCGGUCCAGACUCCUACGGGAGGCAGCAGUAGGGAAUCUUCCGCAAUGGGCGAAAGCCUGACGGAGCAACGCCGCGUGAGUGAUGAAGGUCUUCGGAUCGUAAAACUCUGUUAUUAGGGAAGAACAUAUGUGUAAGUAACUGUGCACAUCUUGACGGUACCUAAUCAGAAAGCCACGGCUAACUACGUG
rnacentral:rRNA from 1 species